UCCAUUUCUGGAGCUUUGGAGAGAGGAAGGUCAUAGUUUGGGCUUGGAAGGUACACUUAGCAGUGGGUUCAGACUGGUAGGAGGGGGGCUGUUGUUUUGGUUCUGAUUCUGGCCCUGCAGCCGACCCCCACCCUGUGGGACAGAAGCUUUUAUCUUCUCCAGGGGCUGGCCAAGGAGGGGGUGCCCCCUGCGAGAGGCCCAUCCAUUACCAUCACAACAGCUGAUGUCACAGACCCCACAAAGCAGCUGGUUCCCAAAUGCAGGGUAACCCUAACCCCACCAGCGAUUGAAACAGAUAGAGGGGUAGCUCUCCCACACAAUGCCUGGCCCUCACUCCUCUCCUCCUCCUCCUUGCACUUCCUCAAGAGCCUUUGUCUUCUGGUCCCUAGGGCCCACAGGCUCUCUCAUUCCCGGCAAACUCUGCCCAUUAAAUUCAAAACGAGGCCUCUGGGGAAAGGGUUUGGCACUUUCUUUCCCUGCCUCCUCUUAUCUCCCACCAGCUAUUCCCCAUCCGCAUCUGCCUGGCAGGCAGAUAAGAAGCCCAGCUGUGAGAAAAGGGGCAAGGUGGUGACGGCUUUGCAACCUUCCCUGGGCUGUUUUGAUUGGCUUUGUUUUUCUGCCUUGGAGUACCCCACAGGGUUGCUGGUCCCUCUCUGGACAAGGCCUUCCGCCAGAAGUCCUAACAGUUAGUGCUGAGGCUGUGGGAAAUGUUCUGGGUGAGUCAGGUUGUUUGACUUUGACAGCCCAUGUCUCUGUACUGAACUGUCUGUCACCUCCCCAACCAGUUGGAAGCCUCCAUAUUUUCAGGAGAGCAGCGUCCUCCUCUUCCCUCAGUACCCGUGUGCUGAGAGAGAGAGCCAGAAGCAGUGGUUUCACCGAUUUUUAAGUGUGACAUGGGAUUCGGGGGAGGCUCCUGGAGAAGGUAGGUGGAAUCUGCCAGAGCUCUAUGAGGCAGGGAGACGAGUCACUGCUCGGAGCUUCUGGCUUUCCCUCAUGGGGAUAUCUACAUGUCCGAAGGGAUUUGAGAGCCAGAAGCAGUGGUUUCACCGAUUUUUAAGUGUGACAUGGGAUUCGGGGGAGGCUCCUGGAGAAGGUGCUUCACUAACCCCAACCCUGUAGUGGACUUGAGGAGAGGAUGCCAGGAGGCAGAGAAGCCCUGGACACUUGCCCAGUGCUCAGCCAUGAGGCAUGUUGUGGAACUGGAAGGUAGGGAGGAAAAGGCCUUAAAUACUGCAUGUGCUAUUGCUCGUUACUGGCUAAGCAUUUUGAACUUCCACAGCUCAUUUACACUUUACCACAAACCUUAAGUUAGAGACUACCAUUCUGCUUUCAUGGCUGAGGAUGAUGAUAUUUAGGGAGUUAGUUUAGUACUUCUUCAAGGUCAGAGGCCAGUAAGUGGCAAAGCCCAGGUCUUGGGAAUGAAAGCCCAGUUGCAGCAGUCAGACUUCUUACUGAAGAAAAUUCUAGUCUAUUCCCAUUGCUUGUGUGCUAGCCUGGAGAGAGCAGGCUGAGUGUUGCUACACUGGCAUUGCUGGUCUUACCAUGGUUCCAGGUGUGCCUAGGAGGUUCUUCAUUACCUCCCAGAACAUACCAGGCUCAUGCCAACACUGUACUCUAAUGUGGUCUGCACCAAAAAUACUCAUUCCUAUGACUUAACAAAAUUUCACUUGCAUUCCUCCAUGGCCCAGCUAAUUAACAUCCUGCUUCUUCUGAGCUGUCUUUCCCAACCAGACCCUUUCCUUCACUAGGCCAGAAUGACUGUAUCCUCCUGCAUGGAGUCUAAAAUAGGCUCAUUUUUUUUCUUUUUUCCAGCCUGGCUUUGUUCUGGAUAAUCCGACAUCCCUCCCUCUUGACUGGGAGCCUUUCCAUGGCAGGGCUAGUGUUCAGCAUUGGGCUCCAAGUUGCCUAAUCCAGUGCUCCACAUAACUCAAGCAUUUUGAAAAGUUCUUGAUGAUGCCAGUGUUAGCUGCGUAGGCAGGAAAACCUAACCCAGGGGUCAGGGAUGUUUCCAAGGCCAUAGGAGGGCUCCUUGCUUUGUGUGGAAGGGAGGCUUUCUCUUCCCCACCAGGCUCUUCUCAUCUGCUCUAGUCCUCAGUCCAGCUAAGUGGGGAUGCAAUGUCAGCCAUCCAGUUUACCAACGCAGCUGCACUGUGCAAAAGGAUGGAAGAACAAAAUACCCAUGAGACAACACCAUGGCUUUUGAAACAGGCUCCAUACUAGCAAGAGUAUUGCAUGUGCCAAGAAGCUGAAUGGGAACAACGCUUUACCUGGCACCAAUGGGAGAAAAUCUCUGCCGCCAAUCCCAGCCCCAAAGGAAUUGUAAGAGAUGCUUUGCUCGCAUGAAACUAGAAGGUAAUGUCAAAGUCCAAUUCUGACCCAUACUUGGCCUAGCUUGUUGGGGGCUCAGGAAUUAAGAAGCCACAAGAGGAAGACCGGCCUGCCAAGUCCAGUGAUUGAGAUUGCCGACAGCACCCAUGGCCUAUGGCAACUUCAAGAACAAGGCUAUCUUUAAGGAGACAGGUAACUGCUGAUGAAGAUGAGCAGGUGGCUGGCUGUGCAGAACAAAGGCAGAGAGGCUGAGAGUGCAGUCAUAGCCAAUGCCAGAGCUUGGGCUCUAGCACAUCUUCCUCCAUGUCUGUCUUCACUGUGCAGCUGGGCAAACAGGCAGUAUGGGUCUUGCCCUAUUUGGCCAAGUCUCUACUUCAUCCAGUCUCUUAGAAUAGCUGUUACGAACUUCCUGAAGCAGUCUGGGAAUUGGCUGAAGUCCCAAACCUAAAACUGAGAAAAGCCCCUACACCCUCAGCUGAGAGAGAGAUUUUAGAGAUGAGAGAAGGAGGGGAGGAGAGAGACAAGCACGCUAGUUGUUCUGGGCCAGGAUGGUCCCAAAUAGCCUCUGAGGCCAUUUUCAGGCCAUGCCUAUUUUCACUGGCAAGUGAAAAGGCUUACUACCACUUCCUUCUGCUGACCCAAGGCCUCAGAGAGUUCUCCUUUGGAAGAAAAUUUUCCUUGACUUUCUACUCCAAAUCAGUAUUUCUGUCCUAUGUUCUCCUCUUUACUUCUCCUGGGGACCACAACAGAUACUGAGAGUGCCCCUCGUGCUAAAGUUCUUCCAGUACUGUGCUUUACACAUUUCGCUAUGUUUUCCCUCAACUCCUACAGAAAAACUAUGAAAAAGGAUAGCAGUUUUUCAAUUAAAGUUUUUUUCACAAAUUAAAAAAAGAACCUAGGGAGCCUUUUACCGUUUGUCUGUUGGGGAGCCGAUAAGAAAAGUUAAUGAGUAUCAGAAAAAGUCUAAUUGGAAAAACUGAAAAACCUGAUUUCUUAAAGUUAUUUUAGAGAUUACUUUUUCAGCACACAUGGUGAUAUUAAUUUUGAUCACCUGAUUAAGUUGUCUGAUUUCUCCCAAUGUCUAGGUAUUAGUUUUCCUUUGGAACUGUGAACAUAAUUUAAGACGUUCAAAUAUACUGCUACCCAGUGAGGAUUCUUGCCUAACCCAAUCUUAACUAUGAUUGCUGCAAACUGCUAACACCAUCCUUCUUUCCACAUUUAUGAGCUGUCAUUCAUUCUACUGUAAGCAAGUGCUCUCUCUUCCCUCUUCCCCCCAUUAAUCUGUCUAUUUGCUAUUGGCACAAGCUCAUGGGUUCCUACAUUUUCAAUGGCUGAUAUUCAUAAGGAGCUCCUUAACGCUGGCUUUCCUGUGUGUUUUCGACCUGCCCCUAUCCUUUCCUGAACAUUACUUCAUGGUACUAUGAGAGGUUCCAAGCUCGUCUUAUACCUGUCCCUGCUCCAGCCCUGGAAUCAAUUGCUUUUCCAAGGUGCUCUGGGUCCUUCUAUUGGAGAAUAGUAUUUAGAAAACAAGAUCUGAGCAGUUAGCAUGCUCAUUUCUAUUCGAGUAUUCUUGCAUCCAGGCCAAGGAAAAUAUAUAUGUAUACUAAAUCACACAUACAUCUACAUUUCUGUAUCUAUUUGUAUACAUAUAUUAAUGUCAUGAGUUCAUAUUGAUGUCUUCAAUUCCAAUCCAGAACUAUGAGAUCUUUCUAGUUUCUUCCCUCUUUCCUUAUUGAUCAUUUCUUUCUCUGACAGUGAGAAAUCUGGCUGCCAUUAUUUGUAUUGCCACAAAUGUAUUUGACUUAUUUGUUCAAUUCUAGUAUAAAGCGAUUUCAGAAUUCCUAAC